rnacentral:rRNA from 1 species
CCUACGGGAGGCAGCAGGGGGGAAUAUUGCACAAUGGGGGAAACCCUGAUGCAGCGACGCCGCGUGAGUGAAGAAGUAUUUCGGUACGUAAAGCUCUAUCAGCAGGGAAGAAAAAAAGUCCUUUGGACUUUGGACGGGACCGGACCAAGAAGCCCCGGCUAACGACGUGCCAGCAGCCGCGGGAAUACGGAGGGGGCAAGCGUUAUCCGGAUUUACUGGGUGUAAAGGGAGCGUAGACGGCAGCGCAAGUAUGGAGUGAAAUGCCGGGGCCCAACCCCGGAACUGCUUUUGAAACUGUGCAGCUGGAGUGCGGUAGAGGUAAGCGGAAUUCCUGGUGUAGCGGUGAAAUGCGUAGAUAUUAGGAGGAACACCAGUGGCGAAGGCGGCUUACUGGACUGUAACUGACGUUGAGGCUCGAAAGCGUGGGGAGCAAACAGGAUUAGAUACCCUUGUAGUC